GGAAGGAUGACCGAGUGGUUAAGGUGUGUGACUCAAGCGUUUGCUGCUUUCUUGCUUCUAAAAAAGCGAGGUUUCUCAUGGGCCUAGCCCGCGGGGGUUCGAAUCCCCCUCCUUUCA